rnacentral:tRNA from 1 species
AGGAUUGUAGUUAAUUAUAACAUUUGUUUUGCAUUCAAAAGGUAUCUUUAGGGUUAAUCUUA